rnacentral:rRNA from 1 species
AGCGAACGCUGGCGGAAUGCUUAACACAUGCAAGUCGCACGGGUGGUUUCGGCCAUUAGUGGCGGACGGGUGAGUAACGCGUAGGAACGUGUCCUGGGAUGGGGGAUAACGCUGGGAAACUGGCGCUAAUACCGCAUAUCUCCUGAGGGAGAAAGCCGCGAGGCGUCUUGGGAGCGGCCUGCGUCCGAUUAGCUUGUUGGUUAGGUAAUGGCUGACCAAGGCGAUGAUCGGUAGCUGGUCUGAGAGGAUGAUCAGCCACACUGGGACUGAGACGCGGCCCAGACUCCUACGGGAGGCAGCAGUGGGGAAUAUUGGACAAUGGGCGCAAGCCUGAUCCAGCAAUUCCGCGUGGGUGAAGAAGGUCUUCGGAUUGUAAAGCCCUUUCGGCGGGGACGAUGAUGACGGUACCCGCAGAAGAAGCCCCGGCUAACUUCGUGCCAGCCGCCGCCGUAACAC